AUUGAACGCUGGCGGCAUGCCUUACACAUGCAAGUCGAACGGUAACAGGUCUUCGGAUGCUGACGAGUGGCGAACGGGUGAGUAAUACAUCGGAACGUGCCCAGACGUGGGGGAUAACGAGGCGAAAGCUUUGCUAAUACCGCAUACGAUCUAAGGAUGAAAGCAGGGGACCGCAAGGCCUUGUGCGUUUGGAGCGGCCGAUGGCAGAUUAGGUAGUUGGUGGGAUAAAAGCUUACCAAGCCGACGAUCUGUAGCUGGUCUGAGAGGACGACCAGCCACACUGGGACUGAGACACGGCCCAGACUCCUACGGGAGGCAGCAGUGGGGAAUUUUGGACAAUGGGCGAAAGCCUGAUCCAGCAAUGCCGCGUGCAGGAUGAAGGCCUUCGGGUUGUAAACUGCUUUUGUACGGAACGAAAAGGCUCUGGCUAAUACCUGGGGCACAUGACGGUACCGUAAGAAUAAGCUCCGGCUAACUACGUG
rnacentral:rRNA from 1 species